AUCUGAAGCAGGCUCCGGGCUCUGAGCUGUCAACACAUAGCCCAACGCGGGGCUCGAACUCACGAACUGUGAGAUCAUGACCUGAGCUGAAGUCGGACGCUCACCCGAGCGAGCCACUCUGGCGUCCCGGUAUCAUCUGGCUUUUUAAACGAACACAUACAUAUGGUAUAGAAAGAGAUCAGUCGCUCAAAAGAGGGAAAACACUUUGAAUCUCAAAAAUUAACAAUUGGUACUUACGAACAAAGCUGGGUUAUUCUCCUGGAGAUCACAGUCUUCUAUCCCAAGAAUAACACAGUUUAAAUUUGUCUACCCGUUUUGUCAUUUGGCUUCAACUACAUGUAUCGGUGAGAAAUGGUUUUUGCUUCCUUCUUGGUUGACAUUAGCAGGACCUAUAUUUUUUGAUCUAGACACUUGAGCAGGACAAAUGACAAUGCAAACUUCAAAUCAUCUGAUUUACAAGAGGGACCCAAACUGAUUGGCUUACUAACAGGUUGCUGAGUGUUUUUAGUUAACUAUCAUUUAUCAUGUAGUUGGUCUUUAACUGUCUACAUGGGAUGGAUCUAGUGGUAUGCUGGUAACUUUGACAAGCUGCUCUUGGAGGAGAAAGAAAGAACCAUCUUGGUCUGUCAUGUUUGCUGAUUUUUGUAGUAUCAUGACUAAUUUCAAGCUAUCAAUAUGAGGUCACUGAAAGUGGGGUUGAGAGGAGAUUCCCAUGAUCAGCUCAUGCCCUAGCUCUAGCCCUCCCUGAAGGGGUCAGCAUUUCCAAAUCCCUAAAUUUCCAUUCUAGGGUUUGAGAGAGGCAUGGAGUACAAGAUGAACAAUGCUUCUAGAGACCUCUACCAGAUGGCGAAUAUGAGUGCUCUCUGUGAGCAGAGCUCUGUGCUCCAGGUCCCUUCUGAGAUCCAAAGAGCAAAUUCUUUAGUGAUUCAUGGCAAAUUAAAAAAGCCAGAAGAAGGUUCAGACAUUAAGUAAAAUACCCUUGUUGUACAGUACCUACCUUUGCAUCACUUGCAGUCAGACUGGACUCAUGUUGUAAAACUCAAGACAGAGUAGUACCCACAGCAUAUUCCCAAGAGAGAGUUAGAAAAUUAUAAUCUUAUUGCCUCUUGAAAACGUUGGCCUUUUCCCUCUUUGUUCAACUUCUCCCAGGAUACCUGCUUGUCAAGUUUUCAGUAGCUUCUUUUGGCUUUGUCAUGGCAACCAAGUAUCUUGGCCCAGGGCCCUAAUGAUUUCCAAAUGUUUAAUUAUCUCUAGUUUCUGAUAUGCUUCUCCUGUCAUUUUUUAAAGUAUCUUCACCCUGACACUUCUCGAAUAGAUCCUUGGUUUGUGCUUAUAGUCAGAUUAGUAUUCUACUACUUCUCCCCUCCUCCAAUUGAUUUUUCAUAUUUGUUUGAAGCAAAGACAGCCCCCAUAUUAUACUGUCACAUAAUAAAACUCUAAGCCCCACGCCCAUAUCCCAAACCCUGUUGGUUAAGGUUAGGGGUACCUAAAAAUUGUACAUCCAUUCAGUAAUCAUCUGUAGUAAUAUUAACUCACAGUCAGUUUUUUUAAUUGAUAGAGCACAAUGAUGAAACACUUCUUCCCUGCUUUUGCCAUUUAAAUCAUUCACUCAUCCCUGAAUCUCCUUCCCUUCUCCUUUUCCUUACCCCUCUCCUUCAAGAUUUAUCUCAGGAAUCACCCUUGCUAUGACAUCUUCCCAAAUUGGCCUCCUCUGCUCCCAGACCUGAGUAGGGAUUCCUCUCAUUCUUCUUCUCGGGGAUCCCAUACCACUCUGUUGACCCUUCUCAUAUGUACAGCAUGGUGGAGGUCAGGAAGGAUAAAUUCAUUACAUGCCAGCCAUCCUUCCAGAAAUCCACCUCACGUCAGUUGAUGUGGAAGCUGAAACCCGUCUGACAUCCCAGAUGAUGUAGUAAUCAGAUAAGUCCCCUGAACUGUAAAACGGAAGCUUUAACUGCACUACAUAUUUAUGGCCUAAAUUGACCACUUAGCGACCAGAUUUAAUUUGAAAGUAAAAAUCUAAAUAUCUUAAACAUUUUAUUUGGAACAUAUUUAUAACUUCAGACUCUUUUCCAAACCCAAUCCUGCCAACAUGAUUUAGCUUCUCAUAAAAUAUUUUAAAGUAUUCAGGUUUUGACGGAAACCUCCAACCUGGAAAAAAAAAAAAAAAAAAAA